UUUUUGCUUUGGAAUUUGGGCAGUUUGUAGUUUUAGAUUGGGGUAAUGAUACUGGUGUUGUUCAUCUGUUUGCAUGAAAUGUUGGCAAGUGGUUUUUCUUUUCCAUGAUUAGUGUGAUAUUGGUGAAUGUGAUGAUAAAGUGGCGCUCGUUAUUUGAAGUAAGGGACUGGUAUGCAUGUCGGUAAUUGAUUGGUACUUUCUGUCCUGAUCUUUAUGCAAAGUAAUGCGGUGGUUUUCACUUUCAUUAAUCUGUACUUGUAAGCUAAAUCAUAAUGGAAGCUAAUUAAACUUGGAGACAUUUUAAUUUUUCCUUAAUGUUUAUUAAGAACGUGGCUUAAUAAUGCUUAUAAAGAAUGUGGCUUAUGAAUAUGAUGUAGACCAUAAUUUAAAUGGCUGGCCAAACAUCUAGUUUUUUGUGCUAUGUUGUUGCUGUUGAAAGUAGUAGAACGUUUAACCAAUUUCAGCUUGACUUGGUUGCCUUGGAUUAUCGGAUGGGUGUCUGAUCUUUGUUAGAGGAGAUGGGGAUUUUCUUUUCCCACUUCUUCCUAGUAAGAUAGAGGUAACUGGUGUAGUUGUUAUUGAUGAAGAAUUAACUACAUAGCAUAUGGUGGACUUUCUAAGUCCAUGGCAAUGGUCUUUUACAGAUUAAUGCAAUGUGCUAUCUGUGCUGCUGUACAAAGCUUUGAGAGCUGGUCUAGGCAAUUGUACUUUUUUGCAUCCCUUCCAACACUGAUGGCUCUAGCAAAGUAUCAAUUAUAGUGGGCUUUCAUGAAUAGACUUCUCUAAUCUAUUAUUGCUAUUUAUUUCCCCAUUUAAGUAUUGAUUUUGUAAGAGAUGAAGAACUGGUUCUCACCAAAAAGGAAAGAUGACUUAUUACUCUUCAAGUGUGUUCUGUAUUGAAGAGGAUUUUAAUGUUAUGCUUCUUAAUUGUUGCUUGUUGUUUUGUUGUAUGCUUCUGAAUUGGAUGCUAUGUCUGUUGAUUGAUUAAUCAAUCAAUUUUUUUCUCGGUUCAAUUCUAAUGAUCUAACAAAGUUUAUGCACUAUUUGGAUUUGAAAAUUUUUGUAUUUACCUGAAUUGUUCUUUCUACUUAAACUUGUACCAUUUUGCUAAGUUGGAACAGCAUUUUCUUGAUAACUUGUCUAACAUUGACAACAUUUUGAUAGUUGUCCCCUUUGUCAUGAAAUAAUGUCUGAUCAUAGAAAAUGUUUCUUGCUCUAUUUGUCCUUUGAAGUAUACCUGACUUUCAUACACUGCAACAGCAGCAGGAAGUAUUGAGGAGGCAUGGUUUGACUCAUUUGCAAUGUUUGAGUCUGAUUGUGAUGAAGAUUUUGAAAGUGUUUCAGAUGAUUUGUUAUCCUUAAAUGGAUUGGAAGUUAGCAGAGACAUAAAUCAUGUAGACUGUACUUUAAAUGUACAACAUACCUCUUCAAGUGAUCAGAUGAAGAAGACAGGGGAUCUGUCAGCAGGAAACUCAGCUUGGAAGUCUGUGAGAGAGGCUGAUAAACAUUCAAAUGGUCAACUAGUCAGCUCAGAUUAUGCAGAUUCCCUAUCAAAAUCUGAAGGACCCUCACAACCUGUGUUCCUUGAUGAAAUUGCGUCCUCUGUGGAUGAAAAUGCUGGUAAAGGGGAAGGGUUAUUAGAUAACUGUGGAAUUCUUCCAGGCAACUGCUUGCCUUGUCUUGCUUCAACUGUUCCACCAGUUGAAAAGAGAAGAUCACUAUGCUCUAGUCCACCAAGUGCAAGGAAAAAGGCUACCUUAAAACUCUCAUUCAAAUGGAAGGAAGGACACCUUAAUAACACUCUAUUUUCUUCAAAGCCAGUUCUGCAGAGACCAAUAGCUGGUUCCCAAGUACCGUUUUGUCCAAUAGAAAAGAAAAUGCUUAAUUGUUGGUCACAUAUAGAGCCGUGCAGUUUCAAGGUUCGGGGACAGAAUUAUUUCAGGGACAGAAAGAAGGACUUUGCUUCUAAGUAUGCUGCAUAUUAUCCAUUUGGGGUUGAUGUAUUCCUAUCUCCACGAAAAAUUGAUCAUAUUGCCCAGUUUGUGGAGCUUCCUGUUAUUAACUCUUCUGGGAAACUCCCAACUAUACUUGUUGUAAAUGUUCAGAUUCCCUUGUAUACUGCCACACUUUUUCAUAGUGAAACAGAUGGAGAAGGAAUGAAUUUUGUUUUGUAUUUUAAGCUUUCUGACAGUUAUUCAAAGGAACUUCCAAUCCACUUUCAAGAAAGUAUCCGAGUAAGAUGGAACCACCCUUCGUAAUUAUAACUAUAAUACAACAUAUUCAAAAAUAUUAUAAGCCUGUUUGCCACUAUUAUGUUUGGCAAUGCUGCUACUGCCAUGACAUUCAUCCUAGCAUUUAUGCCAAAAAAAAAAGUAGGAAGGAAUUUCUUUUCAUGGGGAUGGUAUUCUUUUUUGGGUUAUACUGCUGGAUUUUCAGACCUUACAUUGUUAAUUGGCCUUAUUAUUUCAUGUCUGUUCCUUUAUUUAUUUCUUGAACAGCGGUUAAUUGAUGAUGAAGUUGAAAAAGUCAAAGGGUUCCCUGUAGAUACAAUAGUACCCUUUCGUGAAAGGUUGAAGAUAUUGGGUCGAGUUGUAAAUGUAGAAGAUCUUCACUUAAGUGCUGCGGAGAGGAAGCUUAUGCAGGCUUACAAUGAAAAACCUGUUCUUUCACGACCUCAGCAUGAAUUUUACUUAGGAGAAAACUACUUUGAGAUUGAUAUAGACAUGCAUAGAUUCAGUUACAUCUCUAGGAAAGGUUUUGAAGCAUUCUUAGACAGACUAAAGAUUUGUGUCCUGGAUGUCGGUCUCACCAUACAGGGGAACAAAUCUGAAGAGUUGCCCGAGCAGGUCUUAUGUUGUGUGAGGUUAAAUGGUAUCGACUACAUGAAUUAUCACCAACUAGGGUUGAAUUAAGAGCCCUUCGAAGGUUUAGGUGCUUAAAUGAUGUAAGACAUAUAUUUAAUAAAGGCUAUCUUUCGAAGAAAUUUCUGUUCCAUCAAUUUUGCAGAAUUUCUUCCAUCAAUUUUGCAGUUCCGUAACUCAUCUCGAUAGCUAUAGGGGAAGAGUGCCAAUAUCAUAUUUGUACCAUGUUGCAUGAAAAUCUAACAGAAUCGGGUCAACAUGUCUUGUUUGAUUGUUUAAAGUUGUACUAAUAUGACAGACAUUCAGUCCAGAUCACAGCACGUGAUAUGAAUUGUGGAAUGAAAUCAUGAUCAAGCCUGCGGUCAUUAUUUCUAUUGCAUUGAGGAGAGAGAGAACAUCUUACUUUUUUAGCAUUAAUUAUCUGUGUUUCAGUUGUACAUCAACUCAAGGAAAAUGAGAGAGUGAGAGAUAGCAAUUCAUAAAUUUAAUAACGGAGCUUGUUUUCGUUUCACAGAGCAAUGGGACUUCGGACACAUUACUAACCUAUCCAAGUUAUAUUGAGCGGUAGGAAUCUCAAGCCUUACAGGGAGUGCGGGGUUUCCUCCAUAAACCUUUAUUUCCAGUUUAAGAGCCCUCUGGGUACCUUUCCCGCCCCAGAAAAUUAUCUGAUAAAUCCGUCUCCAAGAGCUCUCUCAGCUUCAGAAAUCCAACUGCUCAAAUGCAAAGUCAGCUAUGAUUUCCAUAGGCCUUUUGAUGUUGGCACCCUGCCAAUCAAAAAAUUAUGUGACGAACUGAGAUGCUGCAUCCCAGAUUGAGCUCCUACUCCAAUUUUUUCAAUGUACCCCACGAAGUUUUCUUUUAGAAAGGUCGGUAUAUGUCGAUGAACUAUCAGGAGAUGCAUUUCCUUUUUCGAAAACUUAUGGGCCCUGUUACCUUGUCUUGAGUGAAGAUCUAGCACACCCAAAUGCUGCAAUCAGGGAUCCCUGAAACGAAAAAAUUGAUCGACGGAUUUAACGAGUAGAGCUGAGUCAGGCUCCCUAACCAUGCCGGUAAGUUUCCAGUGCGAUGGUUAGCUGACAAGUCCAGUUCAUGUAUUGGACUUGGGAGCUGCCGGCAAGAAUUCAGAGACAUCCAGCAAAAUGUGCUCUAAUGCAGGUGUAAGUUCUUCAAGCUUCUGACAACUUGAAGACACUAUCCACCAAGCCUGUCGCCAUAUAAGUACAGCUUUCGAUGCUUUGGGAGGCGAGAACCAAUUACUGGUGGGAUCAUUCCACCCAGGCCUAUUAGGCCGCCGAGAUCAAUGACUUAAAGAGUGCUGAGAUGUGUUAUAGAGGGAGAUAGCAGUCCUUUCAUUUCAGAUGGGAACACGAAAUCAUCUGUGGAAAUGAAUCCCGAAGACGUAUUUCUGUAACCCUACCAGUUUGAUUAUCGCAGAGAAUACCUUCCCAGUUGCGGCAACUAUGCCCAACCCAUUUCGCUAAUCGGCCAGCAGUAUCAACAUGGAUUCCAGCCUUGAAAGUAGACUCUUGAGGUCACGGGGGUUGCAUACACUACCAGCAUUUUGCUUAGCCUCCCUAACUCUUGUUAUGGCAAGUAAAACAACCCCCAAGAACAGCUGACAUGCCAUUUUGCUGCCUGGAAUGAUCAAUUAGAUUCACUGAUUCGAUUUUUGCUAAAAGGGGAAAUAAAUAUGAGGAUACAGAGUUCAAGAUUUUUAUAACUCGAGAAGAAGAACAGUGAGUCAAAUCUCAGUUUUGCUUUUUUCUUUUGUCUUCCGUUCACACAUUUUGUAGCGCAGAAUGGCAUAAAUGACUCCGAAUAAUGUUGUCCUCGGGUUUAAUCUAAACUAAUGUC
rnacentral:misc_RNA from 1 species